rnacentral:rRNA from 1 species
GACGAACGCUGGCGGCGUGCCUAAUACAUGCAAGUUGAGCGCUGAAGGUUGGUACUUGUACCAACUGGAUGAGCAGCGAACGGGUGAGUAACGCGUGGGGAAUCUGCCUUUGAGCGGGGGACAACAUUUGGAAACGAAUGCUAAUACCGCAUAAAAACUUUAAACACAAGUUUUAAGUUUGAAAGAUGCAAUUGCAUCACUCAAAGAUGAUCCCGCGUUGUAUUAGCUAGUUGGUGAGGUAAAGGCUCACCAAGGCGAUGAUACAUAGCCGACCUGAGAGGGUGAUCGGCCACAUUGGGACUGAGACACGGCCCAAACUCCUACGGGAGGCAGCAGUAGGGAAUCUUCGGCAAUGGACGAAAGUGUGACCGAGCAACGCCGCGUGAGUGAAGAAGGUUUUCGGAUCGUAAAACUCUGUUGGUAGAGAAGAACGUUGGUGAGAGUGGAAAGCUCAUCAAGUGACGGUAACUACCCAGAAAGGGACGGCUAACUACGU